AGUGCUUACUCUGGCAAUUUGUAUACUAAGCUUUGAGAAAUACAGAGAAGAUUAACAUGGCCCCUGUGCAUGGAUGACAUGAAAAUUUGUGAAGUAUUCCAGGGUUUG
ensembl:snRNA U6 U6 spliceosomal RNA